rnacentral:misc_RNA from 1 species
CAUAUGACUACUGGCAGGAUCAACCAGGUAGCAUUCCUAUCGACAUCGAGAACGUAUGAAGCAAGCCACUACGACUCGUUCAACACUUUCAAGAUGGUCGUUCGCACGAAGGACGGGACGCUCGAUUUGGGGAAAUCAAGGUCGAAGACCUUGUUCCCGCUCAAUGUUCCAUAUCCGAGAUACCACGCACAACAUCAUGGGCCAACAUCUGAAACACACAUAAGUUGUUCAAGAUGAGGACCACAAUGUGCACUACAAAGUCCACCCAAUGCCGCAUCCCCAAAACGGGAGAAACACUAGAUGCAUUAUCGAAGAAUCCAAUAAACAAUGCCCUCAACGUAGGAAAUCAGCACAAGAAACCAACAACGAGCGAGCCAAGCUCAAUCCAACAACCGAAACGGGAUGUACAUCACAUUGUCGCUGCUCGGGCAGGGAUCCAACAUGUCGAUACAAACCAAUCACCACUCA